rnacentral:rRNA from 1 species
GAUGAACGCUGGCGGCGUGCCUAAUACAUGCAAGUCGAGCGAACGGACGAGAAGCUUGCUUCUCUGAUGUUAGCGGCGGACGGGUGAGUAACACGUGGAUAACCUACCUAUAAGACUGGGAUAACUUCGGGAAACCGUAGCUAAUACCGGAUAAUAUUUUGAACCGCAUGGUUCAAAAGUGAAAGACGGUCUUGCUGUCACUUAUAGAUGGAUCCGCGCUGCAUUAGCUAGUUGGUAAGGUAACGGCUUACCAAGGCAACGAUGCAUAGCCGACCUGAGAGGGUGAUCGGCCACACUGGAACUGAGACACGGUCCAGACUCCUACGGUAGGCAGCAGUAGGGAAUCUUCCGCAAUGGGCGAAAGCCUGACGGAGCAACGCCGCGUGAGUGAUGAAGGUCUUCGGAUCGUAAAACUCUGUUAUUAGUGAAGAACAUAUGUGUAAGUAACUGUGCACAUCUUGACGGUACCUAAUCAGAAAGCCACGGCUAACUACGUG